ensembl:lncRNA
UGCUGUUUAUGAACCGAGCUUUUGUUUAAUUGGUUACAGCAAACAGGGAAAUAAAUAACACCAAUACUCAGUCUGUCUCUAGUGACUCCCAGAUGGCCAUGGUGAGCAAGCUUUACUCUACAAGCAGCCCUCAGGAAAAGUUUGUAAGCCUGCUAUGAGGGAAAAAGCACACAGACUUCCAGCUCCACUACAGAGGACUGCAUUUCUGCUGUACUUUAGUAAGGGGAAUGAGGAAUGGAACACUCAAAGACAGCGCCAGGCAUCCGAGGCAGCCCAGCAUCUACACUUCGCUUUAGGAUGAGUCUGCCCAUCUCAGGCAGCUCCUGCAGAGAUGUCCAAAGAAAUAAAAUAAGAUUGUGUCUUAGCACUUUCUCUCACACUCCCGACCAGCUCCAUCCCAACCCAAUCACUGAUCUGCAAAGCAAAAUGCUCAGCGCAGAAAGAACAGUAAACAGGCACAAAAGCUGUCCUUUUCAAGAGAGGAUAAGGAAACAAUGAGAUGUCCUUACUGUGGACCCCCAGCACUCAGCAAAGCUGUUAUAAAAAAAAAGUGAAGGACAAGUCUCUAACAAGGGGUGAUGAGCUUGUAAAUAGCUUUUAAUCAGAAAGAGGGGGAAAGAAAGGGAGUAAAGAGCUGGUUAGAAGUCUUCUAUGCAAACUUGUGUAGGAAAAUAUUGAUCUGUCAAAAUCUUGGGUUCUUGCAGGCCAGGGUCAGCUCCAACCCAUCUUCCGUAAUUCAUAGAAGUUCUGAAUUGCCAGAAACGUGACACUGUCAGAAUGUCAAGUUCCCAGUUUCAAGCUGGGAUAGCUUUUCAUAUAGAAAUUGUAUAUAGCUACAAUAAGAGGAAAAAAGAUUUAAGAAAGAAAAACCAACAUAGAAACAAUACCUCGAUUACCAGCACAAAAUGCCAGCUGACCUAACACAGCUAACCAUCCACUCCCCACAAGUUACUGACCUAGGAACACUUCUGAAGUUCAAAGCCUUCUUUGUCCUUUGGAGAGAAGUUCUGACACUCCAAAAGCUCCCAAGUAGGAGAGCAGAGCAGCAUCCUCUGCUGUGAUGGAUGUGCUGCAGCAUGGACUUAUCCAUACCAAUUCCAUUAGCAGGACAUUGUCUGUCACUCAUGUGCAGCAUCAGGAUUCUCCAGCAAACACCAUCACUGCCAGCAGCUUUAGUCUGGUAGUCCCUAUGGACAGCACAUUGCACUUGCUCCAGGCCCUAUCUAUAGUACCAUCUUUAAACCCAAUGUGCCAGCAUAGAGACUUUAAAUGCCUUUGUAAAUAGCCUUUCCAGCUGAGUGUAAUUAC